rnacentral:rRNA from 1 species
CCUACGGGAGGCAGCAGUAAGGGAUAUUGCACAAUGGACGGAAGUCUGAUGCAGCGACGUCGCGUGGGUGAAGAAGGUUUUCGGAUCGUAAAGCCCUUUUCUAUGUGACGAGAGAGGACGGUAGCAUAGGAAUAAGUGUCGGCUAACUACGUGCCAGCAGCCGCGGUAAAACGUAGGACGCGAACGUUAUCCGGAGUUACUGGGCGUAAAGCGUGCGUAGGCGGUUGGUUAAGUUACCUAUGAAAGAUACAGGCUAAACUUGUAUUGGUUAGGUGAAACUGGCUAACUAGAGAGAAAUAGAGGGAAGUAGAAUUCCGGGUGUAGUGGUGAAAUGCGUAGAUAUCCGGAGGAAUACCGGUGGCGAAGGCGGCUUCCUGGAUUUCCACUGACGCUGAUGCGCGAAAGCGUGGGUAGCGAACGGGAUUAGAAACCCCGGUAGUCCACGCCGUAAACGAUGUACAUUAGGCGUUCNGUUACGCAAGUAAUUGAGUGUCGCAGCAAACGCGAUAAACGUACCGCCUGGGGAGUACGGUCGCAAGGCUAAAACUCAAAUGAAUUGACGG